rnacentral:tRNA from 1 species
AGGCCGCUAGCUCAUCCGGCAGAGCACCGCCCUUUUAAGGCGGGAGUGGCGGGUUCGAGUCCCGCGCGGCCUA